rnacentral:miRNA from 15 species
UUCUGGCAGUUGGCCGGCCCA